UUCACAGGCUCAGUCCAAAAUGUCUUUUGUCAGCGAAACAUCUGUGAAGAGGAGUACUUUCAAAUGGGCCUGUGUUUUUAUGGGUGUGGUGUGUUUGCUUCUACUGGCUGGAAACAUCUACCUCGCAGUCCAAAAGACUCAGGAGCAAAGCAUCUGGAGAAGCCACAAAAUGCAGCUGGAGAAAAAUAACUGAGAUUACAGGACUGAACAGUUGACCAUUAUUAACAAUAAACUCAAGGAAAAGAUAAACA